rnacentral:RNase_P_RNA from 1 species
GAGUUGGAGAGCUGACUUUCGGAACUUGUUAUUAGAUUAACAAGUAUUGCAAAAAUAUCAAUACUAGUUUUGAGGAAGGUCUGGACAUCCAUGUGUAAACAUGAAAGAGCGAUCCAUGAAAAUGGCUGGCUGUGAAGUCAAGCUCCACUACAGAAACGAUACUGCUUUUGUUGAGCAAUGAACCUCAAGGGUAAGCUAAGAAACAAAAGACCAGAUGAAACGAGUGCCUUCGCUGAUGCAAGUGCCCAAGCCGCACGCAUAGUCUGAUGUCAGCAUGAAUGGUCUGCGUAAAGUCGCGGCAUUCAACAGAAUCUGGCCUAUCUCCAACUC